rnacentral:lncRNA from 1 species
AUGAAGGCACGGGCCCGGGGCGCCGGGGGGCGGCGGAACGGGGCGGCCCCGCCGCGGGGGGGGCGCUCCCGCAGCCAUCUGGGGCGCGGGGGGGCGGCGGCGCGGGGCCGGGGCCGCCCGUUAACGCGUCCCGGCGGCUGGGACCCCGCUCCGGGCAGGGGAACAGGUGCCCGGCCCCCGCCGCGGAGCCCCGGGGCCGUGCCGCAGCCCGGUCCCCGGUCAGCCCGGGGGGUGCCCGCGGGGCCCCCCCCUCCCCCGCGGGACCCCGGCGCCGGCAGCAGCGCGGCGGGGCCGCCCCCGGUCCCCGGCUCCGCGGUGACCCCGCGCCCGGGACCCCGCCGCCGCCGCGGGGGGAUCCGGUUACCGGCCCCGCGCCCCCGCCCAGCUGUCGGCCAUCCCUCACCCGUCCGCGGCCCCCCCGCCAAGUACGCCCCGGGGAACGGGGGCGCUGGGGCCGGCCCCGCACCCCGGGGGGGUCACACGGGGCCCCCGCCGCCCCCAGCACCCCCGGCGGCGCAGCCGGUGGAGCGGGAGGACGGACAGACGGACAGGCGGACAGACGGACGGGCGGGGCGGGCCGGGCCGGGCCGGGCUGGGGGGGGCCGGGCGCCCCCGCGUCUUUCAGCAGCGGCUCUGGCAGAGCAGGAAACCGCCGCGGGGCCGGGGCCGGGGCCGGGCGCUCCCCCGCGCAUCCCGCGCCCCCCGCGCCCCCGCUUAUCAGCGCGCCGAGCCCCGGAGCCUAAUUCAAACCAAGCGCAGCCGCGGGGGCUGGGGCGCGGGGGGGCCGGGGAAGGGGGCCGGGGGCGCGGGACGAGCCCAGGGGGCCGGGAGCACGGGGCGGGCACGGGGGGCGCGGGGCGGUCGCGGGGUGCCGGCAGCCCCCGUGCCCGCUGCCCGGCCCCGCGAGGCCGCGGGCGGUGCCGGGGGGCGGAGGGGGCGCGGGGGGGGCCGGGGGCCGGGCCGGGGCCCCACGUCGAGCCCGGCCGUCGGGGCCGGCUGUGA